rnacentral:rRNA from 1 species
UACAGAGGCCCCAAGCGUUACUGAGAAUCACUGGGUUUAAAGGGUGCGUAGGUGGUCCGUUAAGUUCGUUGUGAAAGCCCUGGGCUCAACCCAGGAACUGCUUCGAAUACUGGCGGACUUGAGGCUAGUAGGGGUCACUGGAACUGACGGUGGAGCGGUGAAAUGCGUAGAUAUCGUCAGGAACGCCAAUGGUGAAGACAGGUGCUGGGCUAGUUCUGACACUGAGGCACGAAAGCGUGGGGAGCAAACAGG